rnacentral:rRNA from 1 species
AACGAACGCUGGCGGCGUGCUUAACACAUGCAAGUCGAACGCGGAAGUUUUCUUCGGAAAGCGAGUAGAGUGGCGCACGGGUGAGUAACGCGUAAAUAAUCUACCCUUGCAUUUGGGAUAACUAACCGAAAGGUUGGCUAAUACCGGAUACGUUUUUUCAGUUGCGAGACUGUUAAAAGAAAGGUGGCCUCUGAUAUAAGCCACUGUGCAGGGAGGAGUUUGCGUACCAUUAGCUAGUUGGUAGGGUAAUGGCCUACCAAGGCGACGAUGGUUAGCGGGUCUGAGAGGAUGAUCCGCCACACUGGAACUGGAACACGGACCAGACUCCUACGGGAGGCAGCAGUGAGGAAUAUUGCGCAAUGGGGGAAACCCUGACGCAGCGACGCCGCGUGGAUGAUGAAGGCCUUCGGGUCGUAAAAUCCUGUCAGAUGGAAAGAAAUGCAUAUGGACUAAUACUUCAUA